GGGUUGUGAGGUUAAGCGACUAAGCGUACACGGUGGAUGCCCUGGCAGUCAGAGGCGAUGAAGGACGUGCUAAUCUGCGAAAAGCGUCGGUAAGGUGAUAUGAACCGUUACAGCCGGCGAUGUCCGAAUGGGGAAACCCAGUGUGAUUCGUCACACUAUCGUUAACUGAAUACAUAGGUUAACGAGGCGAACCGGGGGAACUGAAACAUCUAAGUACCCCGAGGAAAAGAAAUCAACCGAGAUUCCCCCAGUAGCGGCGAGCGAACGGGGAGCAGCCCAGAGUCUGAAUCAGCUUGUGUGUUAGUGGAACGGUCUGGAAAGUCCGACGGUACAGGGUGAUAGUCCCGUACACCAAAAUGCACAGGUUGUGAACUCGAAGAGUAGGGCGGGACACGUGGUAUCCUGUCUGAAUAUGGGGGGACCAUCCUCCAAGGCUAAAUACUCCUGACUGACCGAUAGUGAACCAGUACCGUGAGGGAAAGGCGAAAAGAACCCCGGCGAGGGGAGUGAAAAAGAACCUGAAACCGUGUACGUACAAGCAGUGGGAGCACCUUCGGGUGUGACUGCGUACCUUUUGUAUAAUGGGUCAGCGACUUAUAUUCUGUAGCAAGGUUAACCGUAUAGGGGAGCCGCAGGGAAACCGAGUCUUAACUGGGCGUUAAGUUGCAGGGUAUAGACCCGAAACCCGGUGAUCUAGCCAUGGGCAGGUUGAAGGUUGGGUAACACUAACUGGAGGACCGAACCGACUAAUGUUGAAAAAUUAGCGGAUGACUUGUGGCUGGGGGUGAAAGGCCAAUCAAACCGGGAGAUAGCUGGUUCUCCCCGAAAGCUAUUUAGGUAGCGCCUCGUGAACUCAUCUUCGGGGGUAGAGCACUGUUUCGGCUAGGGGGUCAUCCCGACUUACCAACCCGAUGCAAACUACGAAUACCGAAGAAUGUUAUCACGGGAGACACACGGCGGGUGCUAACGUCCGUCGUGAAGAGGGAAACAACCCAGACCGCCAGCUAAGGUCCCAAAGUCAUGGUUAAGUGGGAAACGAUGUGGGAAGGCACAGACAGCCAGGAUGUUGGCUUAGAAGCAGCCAUCAUUUAAAGAAAGCGUAAUAGCUCACUGGUCGAGUCGGCCUGCGCGGAAGAUGUAACGGGGCUAAACCAUGCACCGAAGCUGCGGCAGCGACACUAUGUGUUGUUGGGUAGGGGAGCGUUCUGUAAGCCUGCGAAGGUGACCUGUGAGGGUUGCUGGAGGUAUCAGAAGUGCGAAUGCUGACAUAAGUAACGAUAAAGCGGGUGAAAAGCCCGCUCGCCGGAAGACCAAGGGUUCCUGUCCAACGUUAAUCGGGGCAGGGUGAGUCGACCCCUAAGGCGAGGCCGAAAGGCGUAGUCGAUGGGAAACAGGUUAAUAUUCCUGUACUUGGUGUUACUGCGAAGGGGGGACGGAGAAGGCUAUGUUAGCCGGGCGACGGUUGUCCCGGUUUAAGCAUGUAGGCUGGUUAUCCAGGCAAAUCCGGAUAAUCAAGGCUGAGGUGUGAUGACGAGGCACUACGGUGCUGAAGUAACAAAUGCCCUGCUUCCAGGAAAAGCCUCUAAGCAUCAGGUAACAUCAAAUCGUACCCCAAACCGACACAGGUGGUCAGGUAGAGAAUACCAAGGCGCUUGAGAGAACUCGGGUGAAGGAACUAGGCAAAAUGGUGCCGUAACUUCGGGAGAAGGCACGCUGGUGUGUAGGUGAAGUCCCUGCGGAUGGAGCUGAGACCAGUCGAAGAUACCAGCUGGCUGCAACUGUUUAUUAAAAACACAGCACUGUGCAAACACGAAAGUGGACGUAUACGGUGUGACGCCUGCCCGGUGCCGGAAGGUUAAUUGAUGGGGUUAUCCGUAAGGAGAAGCUCUUGAUCGAAGCCCCGGUAAACGGCGGCCGUAACUAUAACGGUCCUAAGGUAGCGAAAUUCCUUGUCGGGUAAGUUCCGACCUGCACGAAUGGCGUAAUGAUGGCCAGGCUGUCUCCACCCGAGACUCAGUGAAAUUGAACUCGCUGUGAAGAUGCAGUGUACCCGCGGCAAGACGGAAAGACCCCGUGAACCUUUACUAUAGCUUGACACUGAACAUUGAGCCUUGAUGUGUAGGAUAGGUGGGAGGCUUUGAAGCGUGGACGCCAGUCUGCGUGGAGCCAACCUUGAAAUACCACCCUUUAAUGUUUGAUGUUCUAACGUUGGCCCCUGACCGGGGUUGCGGACAGUGUCUGGUGGGUAGUUUGACUGGGGCGGUCUCCUCCCAAAGCGUAACGGAGGAGCACGAAGGUUAGCUAAUCCUGGUCGGACAUCAGGAGGUUAGUGCAAUGGCAUAAGCUAGCUUGACUGCGAGCGUGACGGCGCGAGCAGGUGCGAAAGCAGGUCAUAGUGAUCCGGUGGUUCUGAAUGGAAGGGCCAUCGCUCAACGGAUAAAAGGUACUCCGGGGAUAACAGGCUGAUACCGCCCAAGAGUUCAUAUCGACGGCGGUGUUUGGCACCUCGAUGUCGGCUCAUCACAUCCUGGGGCUGAAGUAGGUCCCAAGGGUAUGGCUGUUCGCCAUUUAAAGUGGUACGCGAGCUGGGUUUAGAACGUCGUGAGACAGUUCGGUCCCUAUCUGCCGUGGGCGCUGGAGAAUUGAGGGGGGCUGCUCCUAGUACGAGAGGACCGGAGUGGACGCAUCACUGGUGUUCGGGUUGUCAUGCCAAUGGCACUGCCCGGUAGCUAAAUGCGGAAGAGAUAAGUGCUGAAAGCAUCUAAGCACGAAACUUGCCCCGAGAUGAGUUCUCCCUGAGACUUUAAGUCUCCUGAAGGAACGUUAAAGACGAUGACGUUGAUAGGCCGGGUGUGUAAGCGCAGCGAUGCGUUGAGCUAACCGGUACUAAUGAACCGUGAGGCUUAACCUUACAACGCCGAAG
rnacentral:rRNA from 1 species